UACGAAGGGGCUAGCGUUGUUCGGAAUUACUGGGCGUAAAGCGCGCGUAGGCGGUGAUCUUUGUCAGAGGUGAAAGCCCGGGGCUCAACCCCGGAAUUGCCUUUGAAACGGGAUCGCUUGAGUCCGAGAGAGGAUGGCGGAAUUCCUAGUGUAGAGGUGAAAUUCGUAGAUAUUAGGAAGAACACCGGUGGCGAAGGCGGCCAUCUGGCUCGGUACUGACGCUCAGGCGCGAAAGCGUGGGGAGCGAACAGG
rnacentral:rRNA from 1 species